GAUGAACGCUGGCGGCGUGCCUAAUACAUGCAAGUCGAGCGAACAGACGAGGAGCUUGCUCCUCUGACGUUAGCGGCGGACGGGUGAGUAACACGUGGAUAACCUACCUAUAAGACUGGGAUAACCUCGGGAAACCGGAGCUAAUACCGGAUAAUAUAUUGAACCGCAUGGUUCAAUAGUGAAAGACGGUUUUGAUGUUACUUAUAGAUGGAUCCGCGCCGCAUUAGCUAGUUGGUAAGGUACCGGCUUACCAAGGCAACGAUGCCUAGCCGACCUGAGAGGGUGAACGACCCCAAUGGGACUGAAACCCGGACCAAGCUCCUGCGGGAGGCAGCAGUAGGUAAUCUUCCACAGUGGGCGCAGACCUAUCGGAACGACGCCACGUGAGUGAUAGAGAUGCUCGGAUCGUAAGACGGUGUUAUUCGGGAAGAACAUAUGUGUAAGUAACUAUACACGUCUUGACAGUACCUGAUCAAAAAGCCACGGCUAACUACGUG
rnacentral:rRNA from 1 species